GACGAACGCUGGCGGCGUGGAUUAGGCAUGCAAGUCGAACGGUAUCAUCCUUUCGGGGGUGAGAGAGUGGCGAACUGGUGAGUAACACGUAGGUUAUCUACCCUCAAGACGGGGACAACCCAGGGAAACUUGGGCUAAUACCGGAUGUGAGCAACUUUUUAGUUGUUUGAAAGGUGGCGUAAGCUGUCGCUUGGGGAUGAGCCUGCGUCCUAUUAGUUAGUUGGUGAGGUAACGGCUCACCUAGGCAAUGAUAGGUAGGCGGCCUUAACGGGUGGUCGCCCACACUGGGAUUGAGAUACGGCCCAGACUCCUACGGGAGGCAGCAGUCGAGAAUAGUCUACAAUGGUCGGAAGACUGAUAGUGCGACGCCGCGUGAACGAUGAAUCCCUUCGGGGUGUAAAGUUCUUUUCGGGAGGAAGAGGAAGGACUGUACUCCCAGAAUAAGCCUCGGCUAACUACGUGCCAGCAGCCGCGGUAAAAUCAACGUGUA
rnacentral:rRNA from 1 species